GGCUAUAGCUCAGUUGGGAGAGCGCCUGCUUUGCACGCAGGAGGUCAUCGGUUCGAUCCCGGUUAGCUCCACA
rnacentral:tRNA from 1 species